rnacentral:lncRNA from 1 species
GAAUGUGUAAAAUAACCUUGUUGUAAUGUGCUAUCCUGCAUUAAAAUGCCAGGCUGAUGUUUCAUUGUUUUCUUUUUUGUUUUGUUUUCCCCAUGUCAUAUUAGUGGUCUGUAUGUGUGGCUGUCCUUUACUGCCAUACAGUCAUUACAGAAUGCAGUCACCAAAUAUAAAACCAGUUAUCUGAGUGUACCAGCAGGAAGUGAGGUAGAAAGCAGGAACAGGCUGGUGCAGAGGGAUCCUGGAGGCCAUGCUGAAACAUCAGUAAAAGUGCAGUCAGCAGUGUUGCGUAACAGGACUCCUGCGGCCCGAGGACUCUGUCAGACACAUCAGAAGAGCCCCAUACACGGUGAAAUGCUCAACAAAUGUAUAAUUAAUCAAAAUAUGAAUAAAUAAAGGAUGUCUAGGGCGCAGAACAAAAAAAAGAAGAAGAGGAAAGUAUGCCAUUUAAAAGGUAAAACUUGAUAUAUUCUGCCUUCUGCAUUUCUUAUUCACAAAAUAAUGCGAUAUCAUUUUACAGUUCUCUUGGAAGACAGUCUUGUUAUUUUUUUAAUGCCUGCUUAAUUUCAGACCCUAGGUUUGUCCUCGUCUGAAACGUGAGGGCAUCUGAUCUCAGCUGACAUGGGAAGAGAGUGCUGGUUUUGAUGCUGAUAGAAGCUGAAGUUGGAGACAUAUAAGAGGCUCUGAGAGUCCCUCACGUGACAGAGGAAUGUCACAGCUGCGUGAGCCGUGUUUGUAUUAUUUAAUCAGCCCACAAAACCUCAAGCUCCCGCUCUUUCCAAUUCCUCUCUCUUUACGAAAAAGGGCUUGAGUUCUAAAAGUCAUACAGCACCUACAAGCUGAUAAAAGUCCUUUUAAAUUUAGAAUAUUAGAUUAUUUACAUGUUAUAUUCAUGCCACAAUUAGAUUUUCCAUAAGGUUACAUUAUUCAUCACUCAUGUGUUAGUUGUCAACCGAUAUCUUGCAUUGCAAACAAGUCAGUCAAACUGUUAGACCUUUAGGGGCCGUUCACACAGAACAUCUUUGCAUUUAAAAACGUGAAAAGCAGGGCAGUGGAAGGAACAAAAUCACAAGGUUUCGAGAUGUGUUUUUUUAAAUGCUGAAAUCCCUUGAAAUGUAACUUUUGAUUUAUAAUGCUGUGCCAUGAGCAAUACACUGCAAAAGACGUGAAAAGAUCUAAAACCAACUAGCGCAUGUUUACAUAGAAAAACUAAGGAAAAUUAGCAGUGUGGGAUAAAAAAAAAAAAAACUUGUUCGGUGUGAACAGCCCUUUAGAGAGUUCAUUGGCUGUUAAACAAUCAAAAGACUCUUAGUUCUAAUACAAAUUAUGUGUAUAGAAUUUAAAUGAAUUCAUAUAACACACUUUGACACUUUCAAAACAUUACUCUAUUUCUUUCAUAUUAUCCCGACCAGCUUGAUGGCCUGUUGACGCCAAGAUGAAUGUUUGGAGGGAAAAUUCAGUGAUAUAAUCCACAAGUAAUCCACACAACUUAACGUCUUGUGAAGCAAAAAGCUGUGUGUUUGUAAGAAACAAAUCUAUCUUUAAGGCAUUUUAACUUCUAGCCAAAAUAUGAGUCCAUAAUAAUGCUUUCUCCAGUGAAAAAAAUCCAUCCCGUUGUCCUCUCACAUCACUAUUUUGGACUGUAAACAGUUUGAUCUGUGCAUAUUUCUCUCCUGAUUCAGGCAAGACGACUUUUUCAUUGGCGAAAACAAUAUUAUGAAUGGAGGACUCGUAUUUUAGAAGGAAGAAAGCAUCUGAUUCUUUUGUUUCUUACAGAGCUUUUCACUUCACAAGACAUUAACUGAGGGACUGGAGUGUUGUGGAUUACUGUGAUGUUUCUAUCAGCUGUUUGGACUCUCAUUCUGACGGCACCCAUUCACUGCAGAGGAUCCAUUGGCGAGCAAGUGAUGUAAUGCUGAAUUUCUCCUAAUCUGUUCCCACAAAGAAACAAACUCAUCUACAUCUUGGAUGGUCUGAGGGUGAGUACAUUUUCAGCAAAUAUACAUUUUUGGGUGA